GGGCUCCUGGAGCACUCUGCAGGUCAGGUCCUCCCAUUGACUGCACAGAAAGAGGAGGCAGUUCAGACCUGCCCCAUAGACACUCACCUGGGCAGUGACUGCUCUGUAAUGUGAAUGGGGAGAUAUGA